GAAUAGAUGUAAGGUUCAAUAAAAUUAGGUGAUUUAUGCAUGAAAUAUUAAGAUGUUGCAAGUUGCCUAUGUUUUCAGGCUGAACUUAGAUAUAUAUGAAUAAGAGCAGUCCCACAAUAGAGUGCACUAAUCACCACAAGGACAUUAUGUUUGAUUAGGACUAGAAAAUGAAUAUCAGUGAUUGGUUAAUCCCCAAAAAUAAGACACCAUACACAAAUAGAUACAAAGUUAAAAGGAAAAACCACACAGUUCUCCAUUCUAAUUGUGUACUACCUCAACCUAAUAUUUCAGCAUCGUUAAACCAGGUUAGCUCAUCUGCUGUGUUCCAAUAAAUUCAAUCCAAGUCCAUCCCCAAUCCAAAGAUCAUAUGCAUAAUUAUACGGAACCUCAGCAGCAUUUCAUAAUUCAUUAUAGAACUCAAUUUUCAAUGCAUUUUAUACUUUCAAGUUCUAUAUCAUGUUCUAAACUUCUAAACUUCUAAUUCACUUUCUAUAUCAU
rnacentral:misc_RNA from 1 species